rnacentral:rRNA from 1 species
CCUACGGGUGGCAGCAGUCGAGAAUUAUUCACAAUGGGGGAAACCCUGAUGGUGCGACGCCGCGUGGGGGAAUGAAGGUCUUCGGAUUGUAAACCCCUGUCAUGUGGGAGCAAAUUAAAAAGAUAGUACCACAAGAGGAAGAGACGGCUAACUCUGUGCCAGCAGCCGCGGUAAUACAGAGGUCUCAAGCGUUGUUCGGAAUCACUGGGCGUAAAGCGUGCGUAGGCUGUUUCGUAAGUCGUGUGUGAAAGGGGCGGGCUCAACCCGCGGACGGCACAUGAUACUGCGAGACUAGAGUAAUGGAGGGGGAACCGGAAUUCGCGGUGAAGCAGUGAAAUGCGUAGAUAUCGAGAGGAACACUCGUGGCGAAGGCGGGUUCCUGGACAUUAACUGACGCUGAGGCACGAAGGCCAGGGGAGCGAAAGGGAUUAGAUACCCCAGUAGUC